rnacentral:rRNA from 1 species
UACGAAGGGGGCUAGCGUUGCUCGGAAUCACUGGGCGUAAAGGGCGCGUAGGCGGCGUUUUAAGUCGGGGGUGAAAGCCUGUGGCUCAACCACAGAAUGGCCUUCGAUACUGGGACGCUUGAGUCUGGUAGAGGUUGGUGGAACUGCGAGUGUAGAGGUGAAAUUCGUAGAUAUUCGCAAGAACACCGGUGGCGAAGGCGGCCAACUGGACCAGCACUGACGCUGAGGCGCGAAAGCGUGGGGAGCAAACCGG